GUCCCUGUAGCUCAGCGGAUAGAGCGUUGGCCUCCGAAGCCAGAGACGUGGGUUCGAUUCCCGCCAGGGACA
rnacentral:tRNA from 1 species